rnacentral:rRNA from 1 species
UACGAAGGGGGCUAGCGUUGUUCGGAUUUACUGGGCGUAAAGCGCACGUAGGCGGGUCUUUAAGUCAGGGGUGAAAUCCUGGAGCUCAACUCCAGAACUGCCUUUGAUACUGAGGAUCUUGAGUUCGGGAGAGGUGAGUGGAACUGCGAGUGUAGAGGUGAAAUUCGUAGAUAUUCGCAAGAACACCAGUGGCGAAGGCGGCUCACUGGCCCGAUACUGACGCUGAGGCACGAAAGCGUGGGGAGCAAACAGG